CGAAUCCAUAGCGGUUUUGGUCAAACCUUCUGUCAGGAUACACACUAGGACAACAAGAUAACGGCAGGCUUGAGUGUGGUAAGUAUCACAAUCCAAAGGACGCGGAGUAUGAACACCAGGGAGAUGGAGGAGUCUCUGGACGAGGGAAAACAGGUAAGUAACACAAGGGUGUACUGAGGAAACAGACUGGAAUAGUCUCAGGAACAAUCGUCUGAAAAGCACAGAGAGCAGGUUAGUGGAUAUUUCCUCGUUCAAGGUUUGACAGAGACUGGAGGUGAGUUGUGCUCUUAAAUAGUGCUGGUGAUUGCUGGAUUGCUGGAUUGAUGACAGGUGCAGGUGAUUAGUAUUCGGGUGAGUGUGAUCUUUGUGUUGUGGAUGUGAGUGAGCCUGAUUGCCUCCUGACAGUCGGUGCAUAAUUUGGUUGCACCACCUGUUCUUAAGGCAAGUCUUAACUAGUAAGUCGUAAACUCUCCGUAAAGUGAUGCGUAGUCGCAUAAUAUGACAUUUAACUGCAUUGAUCCAAUAAGUAGCCUUCAUAUUUGUACACAGAAGUAUUAAAUAGCCAUGAACUUCAAUUUGAUUUUUUUACGGUUGAUGUACAAACCUUGUCUUCUCAUGUAACUGUCACUGUGAACGUCACAAGAGCAGCUCUCUUGAGAGACAUAUUUUGAUAAUUAAAAUAUUAUUUUAAUUAUUUAACAUUUUAUGCUUAUAUAUGUGACUGUCAUUCAUGUUUUUGAAGCCUGAAAAGGAAAUCAUACCCUUAUUUUAUAUGACUCAAGCUGGGGUUGCAACCUUCUUUUUUUGUCCUUUGCUGAGCACAUGCCUGUGUGUUGAAACUUGACACCGGGCGACACAUCCUGAAAACUGCACUGUUUGAACGGUUUCAUGCUGAAGAGAUGCUUAAAAGUAAGGUUUUUUCUCUCUUGUAAAUGUCAACAUCAUUAUGUAUGUCGAUAUGAUUGAUGCCUGUCAUGCAAAACAUGAGCUUAUUUAUGUCAUAAAAUAUCAGUCUGCUUUUUUAUUCCAUCUGUUACUCCUUGUCGGAGACUUCCGUAAAUAUUUAGUUUAUACGUAGGGUUACGUUCUACUGAAGUUUAAUGGUGCAAAGCUCAAAUAUUUAGUAGUGCUUAAAAAGUAGUUAAAAGUUUAUAUCAAACUUUUAUUUUUUCUUAUUUUUUGCAGUGCAAGCUUGCCCAGAGUUUUCCUAAGCCGUUUGGAGUGUGAUGCAGCACAUGUUUCCUUGGCAAUGAAGUGGAGCCUGAUGUUUGUGCAGCUUUCUGCAAUGCACUGAGUAUGAAGAUGUGAUUGUUGUAUGGUUCUAGGUUGAACAUGUUUGCCUCCUUGAAUGCAGAACCACCAUGGAGAUCCAGAACCUUUGUGGGGACAGAGAUGGGCCUUGUGAGUGUGUGCUGUUGAAGAAAUUUCUUAGCUUUCUUGCAGACUUUCAGGACGCUAUCUGACGGUCUUCUAAAUCCACCUCAGGACUUCAUGUCGAUCAGUGUGUUCAUCUUGGGAAGAGCUCUCUCAGACACGGAGUGCUGAUAAACAGGCUGAACGUCACUGCCUGAAAUGCCAGCAUAUCAGAAGAUGUUGCCUCCAGUGUGACUGUGCUAUCCGGUGGAGAACUGUUGCCACUUGCUCUGAUGGCUUGUCUUGCUGCCAUUCUUUUGAAAGCUGAAUAAUGUGGGAUUGCUGUUAA